rnacentral:rRNA from 1 species
CUGCUCUGAUUCAGCGGCGGACGGGUGAGUAAUGCCUAGGAAUCUGCCUGGUAGUGGGGGACAACGUUUCGAAAGGAACGCUAAUACCGCAUACGUCCUACGGGAGAAAGCAGGGGACCUUCGGGCCUUGCGCUAUCAGAUGAGCCUAGGUCGGAUUAGCUAGUUGGUGAGGUAAUGGCUCACCAAGGCGACGAUCCGUAACUGGUCUGAGAGGAUGAUCAGUCACACUGGAACUGAGACACGGUCCAGACUCCUACGGGAGGCAGCAGUGGGGAAUAUUGGACAAUGGGCGAAAGCCUGAUCCAGCCAUGCCGCGUGUGUGAAGAAGGUCUUCGGAUUGUAAAGCACUUUAAGUUGGGAGGAAGGGCAUUAACCUAAUACGUUAGUGUUUUGACGUUACCGACAGAAUAAGCACCGGCUAACUCUGUGCCAGCA